UCGCGGCGGCGCGCGCAGAAGGGUCUGGGCUCGAGCCUGCCUGGAGCCGCCGCCGGUGCAGAUCUUGGUGGUAGUAGCAAAUACUCCAGCGAGGCCCUGGAGGACUGAUGUGGAGAAGGGUUUCGUGUGAACAGCCGUUGCACACGAGUCAGUCGAUCCUAAGCCCUAGGAGAAAUCCGACGCCAACGGCGACGGGAAUCAUUUGAAAGAGAAAAACACCCGUUGAUCGGGCGAAAGGGAAUCCGGUUCCUAUUCCGGAACCCGGCAGCGGAACCGCUGUUUGUCGGGCCCUCACAAGGGGUUCGUCAGGGUAACCUAAAAGGGCCCGGAGACGCCGUCGGGAGCCCCGGAAAGAGUUUUCUUUUCUGCAUGAGCGUUCGAGUUCCCUGGAAUCCUCUCGCAGGGAGAUAGGGUUUGGAACGCGAAGAGCACCGCAGUUGCGGCGGUGCCCGGGAAUUCCCGACGGACCUUGAAAAUCCGGGAGAGGGCCACGUGGAGGUGUCGCGCCGGCUCGUACCCAUAUCCGCAGCAGGUCUCCAAGGUGAAGAGCCUCUAGUCGAUAGAAUAAUGUAGGUAAGGGAAGUCGGCAAAUCGGAUCCGUAACUUCGGG
rnacentral:rRNA from 1 species